GACGAACGCUGGCGGCGUGCUUAACACAUGCAAGUCGAACGGAAAGGCCCUGCUUUUGUGGGGUGCUCGAGUGGCGAACGGGUGAGUAACACGUGAGUAACCUGCCCUUGACUUUGGGAUAACUUCAGGAAACUGGGGCUAAUACCGGAUAGGAGCCCCUGCUGCAUGGUGGGGGUUGGAAAGUUUCGGCGGUUGGGGAUGGACUCGCGGCUUAUCAGCUUGUUGGUGGGGUAGUGGCUUACCAAGGCUUUGACGGGUAGCCGGCCUGAGAGGGUGACCGGCCACAUUGGGACUGAGAUACGGCCCAGACUCCUACGGGAGGCAGCAGUGGGGAAUAUUGCACAAUGGGCGGAAGCCUGAUGCAGCAACGCCGCGUGCGGGAUGAUGGCCUUCGGGUUGUAAACCGCUUUCGCCUGUGACGAAGCGUGAGUGACGGUAAUGGGUAAAGAAGCACCGGCUAACUACGUG
rnacentral:rRNA from 1 species